GACGAACGCUGGCGGCGUGCUUAACACAUGCAAGUCGAACGGAAAGGCCCUGCUUUUGUGGGGUGCUCGAGUGGCGAACGGGUGAGUAACACGUGAGUAACCUGCCCUUGACUUUGGGAUAACUUCAGGAAACUGGGGCUAAUACCGGAUAGGAGAUCCUGCUGCAUGGUGGGGGUUGGAAAGUUUCGGCGGUUGGGGAUGGAAUGGCGGCUUAUCAGCUUGUUGGUGGGGUAGUGGCUUACCAAGGCUUUGACGGGUAGCCGGCCUGAGAGGGUGACCGGCCACAAUGGGCCUGCGGUAGGGCGCAGACGGGUACGGGAGGCAGCAGUGGGGAAUAUGGCACAAUGGGCGGAAGCCUGAUGCAGCAACGCCGCGUGCGGGAUGACGGCCUUCGGGUUGUAAACCGCUUUCGCCUGUGACGAAGCGUGAGUGACGGUAAUGGGUAAAGAAGCACCGGCUAACUACGUG
rnacentral:rRNA from 1 species